rnacentral:rRNA from 1 species
AGCAGCCGCGGUAAUUCCAGCUCCAAUAGCGUAUAUUAAAGUUGCUGCAGUUAAAAAGCUCGUAGUUGAAUUUCGGGAUCGAUAUAUCGGUCGUGCCUCGGUACGUACUGGUAUUUUCGGUUUCUACCUUCUGACGAACCUUGAUGUCAUUAAUUUGGUGUCUUGGGGAAUCAGGACUGUUACUUUGAAAAAAUUAGAGUGUUUAAAGCAGGCUCACGCUUGAAUACAUUAGCAUGGAAUAAUGAAAUAGGACGUUUGAUUCUAUUUUGUUGGUUUCUAGGAUCGACGUAAUGAUUAAUAGGGAUAGUUGGGGGCAUUAGUAUUCAAUUGCCAGAGGUGAAAUUCUUGGAUUUAUUGAAGACUAACUACUGCGAAAGCAUUUGCCAAGGAUGUUUUCAUUAAUCAAGAACGAAAGUUAGGGGAUCGAAGACGAUCAGAUACCGUCGUAGUCUUAACCAUAAACUAUGCCGACUAGGGAUCGGAUGAUGUUAAUUUUUUAAUGACUCAUUCGGCGCCUUAC